rnacentral:lncRNA from 1 species
UUCGCUCUUUGAGGGAUGCCGGCUGAGCUGAAGAAGAUUUGCCGCACCCAUGCUGCCCUCAAGUUCCUCUUUAUUUAUAGUACUAUUCCAGAGCUCAGUGUGCAGCCCACUGUAUCAAGUCCUAGACCAGCCAACGAAAGCUGCGUUGAACCUAUCCUGCAGCAGAAACACUGGUGAAGAAGCCUGGAGAAACAGAGGCCUGCAGUACCCAGUAACUAACCAGGCUGCACGAAUGGAGCAUGAGAACACCCUACAGCCUGUUAUUUGCUGCAUGUUUCUACGGGCACCAGCAAAGCACAACUUCUAGUAAUGGGAUCAGUAACCCAAGUGACGGAACUGAAAAGGUAUGAAAGCUAAUCUUUGAAGACACACUUAAUCAGCGAAAUGGUGAUUGUUGAAGGAGAAUUGUGGCCUGAUGCGCUAAUUUCUAAGUUAAAAAGGAACAUCAUUUUCGCAACAAUAAAGUAGUGAUCUGCCCUUCCACGCAGUGUUAAGACACUUCCCACAACUCCUUCACCCUUCUCAUUUAGGUAAGUACUAAAAUAAACAGGAAAAGGGAACUGUACCUCUUAUACCUAUGCAACUGGCCCAGUGAAUUGAUUUCAAGUUUGCAUUUGUGAGAAAAAAAAAAAGAUGACUUCCUUAUUUAUAUUUUAGUGGGCAC